rnacentral:rRNA from 1 species
UACGGAGGGGACUAGCGUUGUUCGGAAUUACUGGGCGUAAAGCGCACGUAGGCGGAUUUGUAAGUCAGGGGUGAAAUCCCGGGGCUCAACCUCGGAACUGCCUUUGAUACUGCAAAUCUCGAGUCCGGAAGAGGUGAGUGGAAUUCCUAGUGUAGAGGUGAAAUUCGUAGAUAUUAGGAAGAACACCAGUGGCGAAGGCGGCUCACUGGUCCGGUACUGACGCUGAGGUGCGAAAGCGUGGGGGGCAAACAGG